rnacentral:rRNA from 1 species
GACUGACGCUAGUAGUAUGCUUAACACAGUGCAAGUCGAACGAAGUUUACACGUUCGGUGGCGUACGGGUGAGUAAAUGCAGAAUUCUUCCUUCCAGUUCAGUACAAAAAUUGCUUCUAGUAAUAAAUUCUGAAUAUUUUUAAAGGUUUAUUCCGCUGAAAGAUGAAUCUGCUUAAGAUUAGGUUGUUGGUAAUUUAAAAGCUUACCAAGCCGAUGAUCUUUAGUUGGUCUGAGAGGAUGAUCAACCACACUGGAACUGAAACAAGGUCCAGGCUAAUUCGUUGGCCAGCAGUGAGGAAUAUUGGAGUCAAUGAACGAAAGUUUGAUCCAGC